rnacentral:rRNA from 1 species
AGCGAACGCUGGCGGCAGGCCUAACACAUGCAAGUCGAACGAAGUCUUCGGACUUAGUGGCGGACGGGUGAGUAACACGUGGGAACGUACCUUUUGGUUCGGAACAACUCAGGGAAACUUGAGCUAAUACCGGAUGAGCCCUUAGGGGGAAAGAUUUAUCGCCGAAAGAGCGGCCCGCGUUAGAUUAGCUAGUUGGUGAGGUAAAGGCUCACCAAGGCUACGAACUAUAGCUGGUUUGAGAGGAUGAUCAGCCACACUGGGACUGACGACACGGCCCAGACUCCUACGGGAGGCAGCAGUGGGGAAUCUUGCGCAAUGGGCGAAAGCCUGACGCAGCCAUGCCGCGUGAAUGAUGAAGGUCUUAGGAUUGUAAAAUUCUUUUACCAGGGACGAUAAUGACGGUACCUGGAGAAAAAGCCCCGGCUAACUUCGUGCCAGCAGCCCCGUAACAC